rnacentral:pre_miRNA from 1 species
UUCAAAUGAUACUUCUUCUAACAUUGCUGCACUGUGGGCCAACAUUGCUGCACUGUUGCCAACAGUGCAGCAAUGUUAGAAGAAGUAUCAUUUGGAA